ACAAACAUGAAUUCAAACCUUUAAGUCAUGAUUAAUAAAAAUUCUAAUAUUUUGUAUCAGUUCCCCAAAAUAUCCCAUGGGAUACAUGUGCCUUACUUUUAGAUAUAUGGUAAUAUAGUCAGGAAAUAUUUGCUUUUAAUGUUCAGCUAGUCUGUUCUGACUGCCAACAAAUUUCUAUUGUAGUGAAGAUUCAAGAUUAUAGUGUGCUUGAGAGCUAGUAAUGGAGUAUAAGGGAGGGGCGUGAUAAAGGAAUUAGCUUGUGACUAAGGCUUGCCAGGACAUAAGUUUGUUUCCAGAUGCUGGCCCAGUCUGAUAUGUGUCACAUAGCUGUCCUCGGGCUCUCUUCCAACCUGCUUAUAUCACAAUGGCAGCACCUGGUUUAUAAGGCUACUAGAGGGGGGAAGAGAAGUGCUCGUUUGGGCCUUCCUCAUUGGCCUGUGCAUAGUCAUGCAGACUCACUCUACCUGCAGAGGAGGCUGAGAACCAAUCUUCCCUUGUGCCAGCCAGAGGAGUGCAAAGUGAGAUAUAGUGUCUCACCGCAGCUCCUGCCUCUUACUUCAUUAGUGCAUUGUUGUUAGUGUUUGUUAACUCAGCUCAUAGGAGCCAUGUAAAAGCUUUAGCAUAGAUUUUAGCCUGAGCAGGAAUGUUAUAUUUUAGUAAGAUUGUGCUCUUAAAACAUUUCAGUUUUUUUCUUAUAACUGUAAUCACAGUGUAUUUUCGUAUUUCCCUUUUAAUCUCAUUUGAAUAUAUUCUUGCAGAAAUAAAACCAUCGGCUCACUUUCCAUGUUUCCGCUCUUAUCUCUUUGUCUCACACUACUGUUCGGAAUAGAUAGUGCUGACUUUGGUUUAUUAGGAACGAAGGGUUUUAGCAACGUCACAUCUGCUAUGUAUAGAACAAAUCAACCUUAUGUUAUUAUUUGAAGAUGUGACUAAAUGCUUGAUACAUUUCUGUAGUAAAUCUGGUUUUGGCACAAAUCCCUUAUUGAUUUUCUUGGAACAAGUAUUUCCAUUGGGAUUUCUAGACUGUUAGGUGCUGAUCUUGUCUGGGAUUUUGGCACCAUGGUUCUAACCAGCUUGGAGACUGAAGCCAGUGCAAUUGAGAUCUCACUCUUCCCAGACGGAUGGCGAAUAUGUAAAAGUCAAUUUUCUCUACACUUGGGAGUUUAAAGCUGUGUUUAAGGACAGCAUAAAUUGAAUUUUCCUUUCCAAAUAUGGCUGUAGUCAAACACAGAUGAUGGAGAAGUAAAACUGUUAGAAAGGACCACAGAAGAAUUUUGUUUUGUUUUUUCUGGUC
rnacentral:lncRNA from 1 species